rnacentral:rRNA from 1 species
UCAAAUUUGAAAUCUGGCACCUUCGGUGUCCGAGUUGUAAUUUGAAGAAGGUAACUUUGGAGUUGGGUCUUGUCUAUGUUCCUUGGAACAGGACGUCACAGAGGGUGAGAAUCCCGUGCGAUGAGAUGUCCAACUCUAUGUAAAGUGCUUUCGAAGAGUCGAGUUGUUUGGGAAUGCAGCUCUAAGUGGGUGGUAAAUUCCAUCUAAAGCUAAAUAUUGGCGAGAGACCGAUAGCGAACAAGUACAGUGAUGGAAAGAUGAAAAGAACUUUGAAAAGAGAGUGAAAAAGUACGUGAAAUUGUUGAAAGGGAAGGGUUUGAGAUCAGACUUGGUAUUUUGUAUGUCUUGCUUUCGGGUGGGGCCUCUGCAGUUUACUGGGCCAGCAUCGGUUUGGACGGUAGGAUAAUGACAUUGGAAUGUGGCACUACUUCGGUGGUGUGUUAUAGACUUUGUUGAUACUGCCUGUCUAGACCGAGGACUGCGUCUUUGACUAGGAUGCUGGCAUAAUGAUCCUAAACCGCCCG